rnacentral:rRNA from 1 species
AACGAACGCUGGCGGCAUGCCUAACACAUGCGAGUCGAACGAGACCUUCGGGUCUAGUGGCGCACGGGUGCGUAACGCGUGGGAACCUGCCCUUAGGUUCGGAAUAACUCCCCGAAAGGGGUGCUAAUACCGGAUAAUGUCUUCGGACCAAAGAUUUAUCGCCUUUGGAUGGGCCCGCGUUGGAUUAGCUAGUUGGUAGGGUAAAAGCCUACCAAGGCGACGAUCCAUAGCUGGUCUGAGAGGAUGAUCAGCCACACUGGGACUGAGACACGGCCCAGACUCCUACGGGAGGCAGCAGUGGGGAAUAUUGGACAAUGGGCGAAAGCCUGAUCCAGCAAUGCCGCGUGAGUGAUGAAGGCCUUAGGGUUGUAAAGCUCUUUUACCCGGGAUGAUAAUGACAGUACCGUGAGAAUAAGCGCCGGCUAACUCCGUG